rnacentral:tRNA from 1 species
GUGGCCAUAGGAUAACGGUCAGUCCGUCAGAUUGUGGUUCUGAACAUGAGGGUUCGACUCCCUCUGGUCACA